AAAUAUGUAAUUAAGUUGGUUAUAAGAGUUUGUUAGUAGUUUGUCAAGGUAAAAUAGACUAUAAACAAACCUUAAUUUGUAUAAGUAGAGUGAAAUCAAUUGAAGAUUUUCAUAUUCAGUAUCAAAGCAAAAAUAUUAUAUAAACCCUAGUUAUUACAUGGCUUAUUAUUUUAUAAUCUAUUUUACCAUAACAAACUACUAACAAACUCCUAUAACCAACUUAAUUAAGUAACUAAUUACAUAUUUAGUAUUUAAAUUGUAUUUUCCUUGACAAUUGAAUCUUGUGGAAUGCUGAAUACUUUCUAAAAAUAUGAAAUUUUUAAAAACAUAAACAAAAGUAUAACUUAAGAAUCCACUGGAGAGAGAUCUGACUUGGUUAUCCCUGGUUGCAUAGCCAGUUGUUUUUAGGACAUACUGAUCCGGGUCCUGAAUUUGCAGGAGGACCACUUCCGCCUCUUUUUUCUCGUGUCUUUCUUCUCGGUCCAUAUACACUUUUGUCAUAACCCUUCUGUAUCAUUCCUUUACCUUUAUGAUCUAGUUUUUCAUUUCUGGACUUUGCAGUUGAAUUUUGAUUGGAGUAGCAGAGUUGGCCAAGCAUAUAAAGAGAAGAAGAUAAGAAACAACGACAACGAUUAUCUUCCAACAGUUUGAAGAACACCUCCUCCCCAUUAAAAAUGUGAUGAGUGAAAGAUGAAUGUAUGUAUUGUGAAUAGGUUUGAUCUAUUAAUUAUAGACAUCCCGAUUCUAUUUUUG
rnacentral:lncRNA from 1 species